rnacentral:lncRNA from 1 species
GCGGUGAUAGCCGGCAAAGUUUUCAUGGCACACGGUGGCUUGUUCCGGAGCUUGGAACUGGGGCCUUCUACGCGAUCUUUCUUGGUGAGAGCUGCUGCUAAGCUCAAGCUGGGUGAUCUGGACGACCUUGCAAAGUCGAGAAGAGGCGUGCUGGAUCCGUCGGCCGUGGGAAACAACGUGAUACCGGGUGAUAUCUUGUGGUCCGAUCCAUCUCCAAACCCGGGGCUUGCGAGCAACGAAGGUCGAGGGAUCGGGCUUGUUUUUGGACCGGAUUGUACUCAAGAGUUUAUGGACAAGCACAAGCUAAAGGUAAGGUGGUGUUUUGCGUCGUUUGCUCACGAUCAUUGGCAUUGUUCGGCAGUGCAGCUUAUAGUGAGAUCUCACGAGGGGCCGGAUGCGAGACAGAAGCGUCCCGAGAUGGCGAGCAUGGACAAAGGCUACACGAUCGACCACGUUGUCAAGGCUGGAAAGCUCAUCACUCUGUUCAGUGCUCCCGACUAUCCCCAGUUUCAGGUUGGCCUUCUUCAUUUCGUGUUUUCUUUCUCCGUAAAUGCAACGAAGUUUCGAUUGUCAACAAUGGCAGGCGACCGAAACUCGGUUUAACAACAAAGCAGCCUACAUUGUUUUGGAACCACCGGAUUUUUGCGAGCCCGACAUUCGUGUUUUUGAGGCGGUCCUCCCGCGGCCACAUGUAAGCAAUUUCGUUUUGAUACUUCCAUCCACCGCUUUGGUUGCUUUUCCGCAGGUUAUGCCGUAUUACGAUCAUGUUAAUGUUAUGGAUUCAGACGACGAGCUAGAUCUGCCAAAAGACGGAUAAAACAAAUCUAGAAAAAUGCCACGAUCGCCACCAUUAAGGUCCUCGUGGGCGUUGGACUUUUAUGCUCGUAGGAGUCAAGAAAAUUAUUGACAAUAUAUUUCCGAGUGAGAGCUGCAAGAGAGCUGCGACAAGGAGAAAAUGGCGAGUGAUUUUGUUUUGGUUGUGGCGGCAGCACUAUCGAUCACUGCUGUGCUAUGGAAGCUAUGGAGGAGUAGAAUUAAAUCAUCUCUUCUUCCUCCAGGUCCCAUUGGGCUUCCACUGAUCGGCCAUCUCCACUUGCUCUUUGCCAAUCCUCCGCACACCGUGCUCCAGAGGCUGUCGGCUCGCCAUGGACCGAUCAUGUCACUGCGAUUCGGGCAUGUUCCAGUGGUUGUCGCCUCCAGCCCAGCAGCCGCCAAGGAGUUCCUCAAGACCCACGACGCCGCCUUUGCGUCUCGCCCGCCGAGCGCCGCCGGGAGGAUCAUCGUCCACUACAACGCCGACAUCGUUUUCGCCCCCUAUGGCGACUCGUGGCGGCACUUGCGCAAGAUCGCGACGCUGGAGCUCCUCACAGCUCGCCGGAUUGACAUGUUUCGGGGCGCGAGAAUGGAAGAGGUAAAAUCCAUGUGCCGAUCGCUACUAGUGGCGGACGAUUGCGAGACAGGGAUCGUGGAUGUUCGUGGGCGACUGACUGCACUCACCUUCAAUCUCAUCACUUUCAUGCUCAUGGGCAAGCGCUACUUUGGCAAAGAUGCAGAGAAUGAUGAAGGGGCAAGGAAGUUCUUAGAGGUAAUUGCAGGUACGUUUGAGGUAUGUGGAGAGUUUCCAAUUGGGGAUUAUUUCCCAUGGUUCCCCAAAUUCCUGGAUCCAGCAGAACGUCGUAUGCAUUUCCUAGCUAAAUCCUUGCACAAAUUCCUUAGUGACAAUAUCACCGAGCACGAGAAUAGGAGAAAUAACAGUGAGAAAAAUAACACUGACAAAGAUUUCUUGGACAUCCUUCUCUCUCUGAGAGACAAUGGUGAUGAGCAUCUACAAAACAAAAACAUCAUAAGUGUCAUGACGGUAAGAAGAAAAGUUUAUCAAUUCGGUCAAUCAGUCUCAUCACUCGAGAUCUUUUUCUUGGCAGAACUUGGUCACAGCUGGAACCGACACCUCAGCAGUGACACUCGAGUGGGCAAUGGCUGAGUCGAUAAAAAACCCCACCAUUGCCGCCAAAGCCCGAGAAGAAAUCGAGCUAGUUCUCGGCGAGAAGUGGAGGACGAAGAUGGUGGAAGAGCCUGAUCUUUCACAGCUAACUUAUCUCCAAGCCAUCGUCAAGGAGACACUCCGGCUGCAUCCUGCGGUACCGCUGCUGGUCCCCCACCAAUCCACCGAGGCGGUUAGCAAUGUAAUGGGGUACCAUGUUCCGCGCGGCACGACGGUGCUCAUCAACGCCUACACCAUCGCCAGAGACUCUACCGCCUGGGGUGACGACGCGCUGCUCUUCCGGCCCGAGAGAUUCCUUGGCACAGAUCUGGACAUCCGGGGCAGGGACUUCGAGGCGGUGCCGUUUGGAUCGGGGCGGCGACAAUGCCCAGGAAUGGCACUGGCGCUCACCACUGUCCAUCUCACGCUCGCCAACCUCCUCCAUGGAUUCGAGUGGAGAGAGCCCAGCGGUGAGAGCAUCGACACGAGCAAGGAGCAGUAUGGAUUGGCGCUGCUCUUGGCAAAGAAGCUGCGACUGAUCGCCACCCCACGGCUAGAACAAGGUACCUUAUAGCUCCGAUCCAAAGAAAGCUUGGAAGAAUAGCUUCCUUGACAAACCAUGAAUAAGAAAGAAACCACGAACUUUGCACUAUCUCUCCAAACGGACACUGCCGGCCUCAUCAGGAGCCUCCUUGCGAAUGCGAUUUUUGCAUGGCAUGGAUAUUUUUAUAACAAAUAUAAAGAUAAUUUGUAAGUAUUAAAUAUUCUGAAGAAAUUGUUGAAGACUUGGAAAAGAAUAGACCAAGAGUAGAUUGUUGGAUCUAAUUUGAUUUCCAAGUGUGAUUGAAGCUCUUGUUAAUGUUCAGCUUAUCAGCGGCUUGACAACAUCUACGUUAUUGCUUGCAACGUGCAUAGCUAAUAAGGGGGUCGGCACUCUUGUUCUUCCUUGCAGCCCGCAUAGAUUGGAGCAAGGGAUUGGACAGGUUGCACUCCGAUGACAAGAAGUCCAAAAGCUUAUCUUCAUCUUCGCUUAGAAGAGUUGUGGUGCUCUCCAACAACAGCUUCCAGCAGUGUCCACAUUCCUGAGCUCGACCCUGUGAAGCAGAAACGCACAAGCCCCAAUGAAUUUGAUCCGUGCACCACAUUCUUGCACCAAGCUUCCCCCCACCAUAUGCUUGAGAAACAUCUCCAAGAAGCAGAAGGCAGUCUAGCGGUACCUGGCCUCGUGCACACGCAUCGUGCAGCUCCUUGAAAGCAUCACUAGCCAGUUCAAAGGCAAUGUUCUUGAAGCCCUGCAGCGAGACAGUCAUAAACCAGGUGCCAAACUCUAAAACUGAUCUCCACUUGCUCUCAGAUACCAAGCUUCUCCAAUGCUGGCGCAUCCUCAUCUCUGCUUGUGUUGUGGCUUGCAACUGGCCGUAGUCUGAAAUGCUGGUGUAGAGAUAACUCAGCUUCUGGUGUGCAUUGCCAUGCCUCUAACGCCAUCGUAAACUCUAUCAUCUCAGCUUGGGGGAAGAAAGCCUUGGGAGGGCGUAGCUCUGGGAGAGGCUUCACUUCCAUAGCUUGCCUGUUCAGCCGCCGCUCCAGCACGCUUCCCUUCUGCAAUCUAUUUCCUACCACCUUUCUAAUCUCAGGCUUGGAUAUCCCCUCCCAGGAACCAUACGCCAACACAUCCAGCGACUGUUGGAUUUGGAUGGAAUCCCCCUUGUUCUUCUUCAGUGCCUACAAAGCUUUCGUAAGCAUCAUCAGAUCUGUGGAGCAUGUUCUAUUUUUAUAGCUUGGAUCGUUAAAAGGUACUUUGUUCCAGGCGAGGGGUGGAGAUCAAUCGCAGCUUGUUUGCCAUGAGCAACGUCAAUCCAUAUUGCUCGUUGCUCGUGUUGAUACUCUCACCGCUGGGUUCUCCACUCGAAUCCAUGGAGGAGGUUGGCGAGCGUGAGAUGGACAGUGGUGAGUGCCAGUGCCAUUCCCGGGCAUUGUCGCCGCCCCGAUCCAAACGGCACUGCCUCGAAGUCCCUGCCCCGGAUGUCCAGAUCCGUGCCAAGGAAUCUCUCGGGCCGGAAGAGCAGCGCAUCGUCACCCCAGGCGGAAGAGUCUCUGGCGAUGGCAUAGGCGUUGAUGAGCACCGUCGAAGAAGAGCGGCAACAAGAAGGCGCCAAUCCCGGAAUCCAGCUCGGAUAGGCGCAAGGAGUAGCGAUGGCGGCAGAGGAGGAGGCGGUGAGCAAGGUAGUGGAAUGGCCAGAGGAUGGGGAUUGACGCGAGAAUGGGUAAUCGGCGUGGGCGAGACCCUGGCGGAGGCGGCCUCCAUGCUGAGGCCGCAAGCACUGCGCCAGGUAGUGCCAGUCGCGGUCGCCGAUUCGCUCAUCGCCAGGGCUUCCAAGAUCAUGCACAAGGAGCCCAAUUGCUUGCGCCUGGAGCCGAUUUGCACGGCCAGCUCCAUGAUUUGCUCCAUCUCUUCGAUCUGGCCGGCCUCCCCGACGAAUGUUUGUGUUUAACGGGGACUAUGUGGAUCGAGGAGCGUGGGGAUUCGAGACUUACUUUCUCCUCCUUGCUUGGAAGGUAUGAUAUCGGUUUUUUUUUUUUACUUCUUUCUGGUGGUAGUGAAAGUUGGUAUUUUUCUUCUUUUCUUCAGGUAUUGCUACCUCACCGAGUGUUUCUUCUGCGAGGAAACCACGAGACAAAGUUCUGUACGAGCGUCUACGGCUUCGAAAAAGAGAACUCCGUCAAGUUUGGGGAGCAUUCCAAGCAUGUCUAUCGCAAGCUCUUGGGAUGUUUCGAGUGCCAUCCUCUGGCGGCGGUGAUAGCCGGCAAAGUUUUCAUGGCACACGGUGGCUUGUUCUGGAGCUUAAAACCGGGGCCUUAUACGCGAUCUUUCUUGGUGAGAGCUGCUGCUAAGCUCAAGCUGGGUGAUCUGGACGACCUUGCAAAGUCGAGAAGAGGCGUGCUGGAUCCGUCGGCCAUGGGAAACAACGUGAUACCGGGUGAUAUCUUGUGGUCCGAUCC